rnacentral:rRNA from 1 species
AUGGGCGCGGGCGCGUCGGACCUCGCGGCGCCGGCGGAGGCGGCGAUGUCCGGGCUGGGCGACAUGCCGGAGCUGUGCGCGGCGGAGGUGCUGCUCCGGCUGGGCGCGCCCGACAUAUGCCAGCUCGCGCGGCUCAACCGCGCGUUCCGCAGCGCCGCGGCCGCCGACUUCGUGUGGGAGGCCAAGCUGCCCGAGAACUACGGGUACCUCAUGGGGUUCGUUGACGGUGACUCUGAGGAGGGAGGGGCAGGAGGGAAGAAGAGCGCCGUGGGGAAGAAGGAGGUCUACGCGAGGCUCGCCAAGGCCGUGCGGUUUGACGACGGCAAAAGGGAAUUCUGGCUGGAGAAGAGCACCGGCAUGGUUUGCAUGGCAUUGUCCUCGAAAGCGUUAGUGAUAACAGGGAUCGAUGACAGGAGAUAUUGGGUCCACAUGCCAAACACAGAGUCUAGGUUCCAGUCCGUGGCGUACCUGCAGCAAAUCUGGUGGUUCGAGGUGGUCGGGGAGAUCGACUUUCGCUUACCGGCGGGGACCUACAGCCUCUACUUCAGGCUCCACCUCGGGAAGCCCUCUUCCUCCAGGCACGCCGGCCGCCGCGGCUGUGGCGGCUCCGAGAAGGCCGGCAACGGCAUCCACGGCUGGGACAGGAAGCCGGUGCGGUUCCAGCUGUCGACGUCGGACGGCCAGAACGCCGUGUCGCAGCGCUACCUGGACGACGAGCCGGGGAGCUGGGCGCUGUACCACGCCGGCGACUUCGUGGUGGCCCCGGACACGGAGGAGCACGGUCAGGGACGGCCGGUGAGGGUCAAGUUCUCCAUGGCGCAGAUCGACUGCACCCACACCAAGGGCGGCCUCUGCGUCGACUCCGUGCUCGUGUACCCCAGGGGCUUUCGGACAGAGAGAGUGGUUGAUGCUCAGAGGUGA